ACAUAAAAGUUUGCUUUUUGCUUCUUUCUCUUUAUAUCUUAAUAUAGAAACUUCUAACAGAGUUUGACACGGACAUUUGCCCCAGUGUGUCAUGCUCAGAGGAAUGACUCAUAGGUCCUAAUGAGAGAGCACACUUUGGAAAAGGAUGACUGACUUUUAAAAGGAAGACCCAAACAAACCGGUCAACAGAAAUGGAGUGCUGCUCUAGUGCCAUGCCCGAGACACCUGCCAAUAGUCCUCUGCCACUCGCCAUCCCUGCAUCAGCAUCUGGGACAUGGUCAUUACACUUGACGGCUUGUCACUCCACCUCUCCUCACUCCUCAGCUCACAGAAAAGAGAUUUGUGAAAUACCAGCUCUGGUCUUGGUAAAUAUUUGUUUCCCCUGGCACCCUGGAAAAUGCAUUUUUUAAACUCUUCCUACACUUUCGGUGUGGCAGCAGCUUUAUCAGUAUGUGAAGACAGAGCGAUGAUGUGGCUUGGAUACUUGACAUUUUGUAUUGUUGCAAAGUGGCAAAUUGCACUGAGCUGUAAAUACACUAUAAAUGGUGUUGUGCUGAAUUAUAAAGACAAUUAGCAUAUU